UACCCAUGGUGUGAACAUAGGUUCUGUAGUUCCUUGAAUCUCUCCCAGGCUUGGUAUAGGGUUUCACUAUCCUUUUGAGAAAAGAUUGAGAUCUGUCUCUUAAGGUU
rnacentral:snoRNA from 1 species